GUCGUGUUUCAAACCGUCUUGCCAAUGCUCGAUCCCGUCUGAUCUCGAAGCGAAGAAGAGUUGGGCUUGGUUAGUGCGUGGAUGGGAGACAGUUUCUGGAAUACGAGGUUCCACAGUG
rnacentral:rRNA from 1 species